rnacentral:lncRNA from 1 species
CCACCAAUUAGGCACAGCUCUUUCUAAUCAGGGCUACUUCCUUAUCAGAGCAACUACUUGUUUCAGUGAGCAGAGCACUAUAUCAGUAGUUGUUUCAGUGCUCUGUUACAUUUUCUGUGAAGGAGAAUGCUGGAUGUAUACAAUCCUCUAACCAAAUGGUGUAGCAAUUAGUUGAAUACAUUUCUUGUUGUUAGGACUAGUCUCUAUUUUAUACUUUUUGAAGAACAAGAGAUGAGGCUAUACACACUACUUCUUGAAUACAUUCUAGGUAGAUCCAAACUUGAAAGAUACAGGCUCUAACCACUAGAUAGGGCUGCUGCCACCAGCUAACUGCUAGGAAGGAGAUCCACCCAUUGACAUCUACGGAGAACAUGGGCAUAAUGGCCCAGCCCUGCUGAAGGACGCACAGGAGACUCGGAGGAAUGGAGAAAAGAAAAAACAAAAACAAAACAAGGCAGCUAGAAGUAGACCAGGUGUCACAACAGCCUAACAUAUCAAGAACUGAAUAAGCUGGAGGCCCAGCUGCUUUGCUUCAUGUGAGGAUUUCAGCAACCCAAAUCCCAUCCUGUCCUAGCUGUUCAUUGCCCGGACCUGCAGGAGCUAAAAGUAUCACAGAAGCAGCACUGUCGACCUCAGCACGGAGUCACCUUCCAGUGAGCUUGCAUAGAAAAGCUGUAGUAAUAAGGCCUUCCAGCUAUUGUUACUGACUGUCACGAAC